UACGGGGGGUGCGAGCGUUGUCCGGAAUCACUGGGCGUAAAGGGCGCGUAGGUGGCCUGAUAAGGGUGUGGUGAAAGUCCGGGGCUCAACCCCGGAUCGGCCGUGCCGACUGUUAGGCUGGAGUACUGUAGGGGCAGGCGGAAUUCCGGGUGUAGCGGUGGAAUGCGUAGAGAUCCGGAGGAAGACCGGUGGCGAAGGCGGCCUGCUGGGCAGUUACUGACACUGAGGCGCGACAGCGUGGGGAGCAAACAGG
rnacentral:rRNA from 1 species